AAAUGGGUUGAAAACCCACUGUUUUCUUUCUAAUGUCACCCGAGAGCUCUCCCCCCCUCCCUUCUAUCUUCGUUCCAAUCUUCCUCUCUCUCAAAAUCCUUAUCCCUCAAUUAAUACCUUCAUCUUCACCAUUUUUAUUUCAUGCACCAGUUCAACAGUAGAAAAGAGAAAGAAACACUAAUACCCGUUGUAGCUUGAGCUUUGAAAUUGGGUGGUUAGAAGGUUACACAUAUUUUGGGUUGGGUUAUUUAGAGCUCUUUGAGAUUCACAAGGAGGCGUUUCUGUUGGUCCUACGGAAGGUGCAGAAAGGGUUUGAGCUUGCUCUUCAUAGUUAUUCACAAGCAGUUGAGUAGCAGAUUUCUGGGCUUUGCUGUUGUUUUGGUAUGCCUCCAUUGUGCGGUGGCUAGUAUAUUCUUUUUGGUCGACUCCAGUAUGAUGCAGCCAUAGGGAUAGAGUCGUUUACUUACUUUGAGUUGUAAUUAUUAAA